AAAUUCUCCUAACACA
rnacentral:tRNA from 1 species